GCACCACCUCAUCCCCUUGGGACAGGGAUCAUCGAUCCUCAUCCAAUCCAAUGAGGCUAUGCUAUGGGUCGCCUUGUUUCACGCAACCACCUUCGGAGACUACAACAUUGCUUUAUUAAAUUUCACCUAUUUCUUAGAGGAGAUAUUCCCAUUAUUCUUGCGAGCAAGCAGCGCUCUCUCUCUCUCUCUCUCUCUCUCUGUGUCCUUGCUGCUGCUGCUGCUGCUUCCAAUCAAGUGAGUGACGAUGCCGACCAUCGCUUUGACCUCCAACCUCGAUUGGAACCCGCUUGAUCGACUACGGGCUUUUCAGUUGGUACUAGUCUCUACCUGUCGAUCGAUCAGCCCGACUAAUACUACACUCCAACGAAAAUGUCAACCAAAACGGUUGAGCUCGAAGUUCCGACUUCACUGCCAACUCAAGACAGAGGAAGUGCAGAUAAGGAGGUGUUCACCUUUUCUGGAGAGUCUAUUUCUAUCAAGUGAUGGUGUUGUGGCCUCUCGUGAAUGGAAAACAGUUCCAGAUAUUUGGAGGUCUUCAGCUGAAAAAUUUGGUGAUCGGGUAGCAUUGGUGGAUCCAUAUCACGACCCUCCUUCAACUAUGACUUAUAAACAGCUCGAGCAGGAUAUAUUGGACUUCUCGGAAGGUCUUAGAGUUAUAGGAGUAAAGCCAGCCGAAAAGCUAGCUUUUUUUGCUGAUAACUCUUGCCGGUGGCUUGUUGCUGAUCAAGGUAUAAUGGCCACUGGAGCAAUUAAUGUGGUGAGGGGGUCAAGGUCAUCUGUUGAAGAGCUUUUGCAGAUAUAUAAUCAUUCUGAGAGUGUUGCACUUGUUGUGGAUAAUCCCGAAUUCUUCAACCGGAUUGCCGAAACUCUCUGUUCUCAGGCUGCUGUGAGAUUUGUUAUAUUAGUUUGGGGUGAUAAAUCAUGUUGUACUAGUGAAGUGCUCGAGGGAUUGCCUGUCUACAAUUACAAGGAUAUCAUAGCCUUGGGACAUGAAAGUCGUAUGUGUUUGCUUGAUUCUCAUGAUGCUCGGCAGCACUAUAUUUAUGAAGCCAUCAGCUCUGAUGAUGUCGCGACAAUAAUGUACACUAGUGGAACUACUGGCAACCCAAAAGGUGUUAUGCUCACGCAUAAGAAUCUGUUGCACCAGAUAAAUAAUUUAUGGGACGUUGUACCAGCAGAACCUGGAGAUAGAUUCCUGAGCAUGCUUCCAACUUGGCACGCAUAUGAACGAGCAAGCGAAUAUUUUAUCUUCACAUAUGGAAUAGAGCAAGUAUACACAACGGUGAAAUACUUGAAGGAAGAUUUGCUGCGCUACCAACCUAAUUACCUGGUUUCUGUUCCUUUGGUACUUGAAACACUUUACAAGGGUAUCCAAAAGCAGAUUUCUACGAGUUCCACCGCUCGCAAGCUUGUUGCACUUUUCUUUAUAAAAAUUAGUUUGACAUAUAUGGACAUCAAGCGAAUUUAUGAGGGAAAAUGUCUAACAAAGUGCCAGAAGCAAUGUUCGUUCCUAGUAGCAGCAUUUGACUGGUUAUGGGCGAGAACAAUUUCUCUUAUACUAUGGCCAUUACAUAUGUUGGCCAAGAAACUUGUUUAUAAUAAAAUUCAAACUGCUAUUGGAAUAUCAAAGGCUGGCAUAAGCGGAGGUGGUAGUUUGCCUUCCCAUGUUGACAGGUUCUUUGAGGCAAUAGACAUGAAAGUGCAGAAUGGUUAUGGGUUGACUGAGUCAUCUCCCGUCGCAGCUUGCCGAAUUCCUUCCUGUAAUGUUCUUGGCUCAAUCGGUCAUCCAAUUCGACAUACAGAAAUUAGAGUUGUAGAUUUUGAAACAGGUGAUGUUCUUCCUCCAGGUUCGAAGGGUAUUGUAGAAAUUAAGGGGCCACAAGUAAUGAAGGGUUACUACAAGAAUGAAUCGGCCACCAAAAAUGCCUUAAAUGAGAGCGGUUGGCUAUACACUGGUGAUAUUGGUUGGAUUGCACCUUCCCAUUCACUGGGGCGUAGUCGCCGGUGCAGUGGCAUGGUUGUUCUUGAAGGACGUGCUAAGGAUACUAUAGUUCUUUCAACAGGUGAAAAUGUUGAGCCAUCAGAGCUUGAGGAAGCUGCCAUGAGAAGUAGUUUAAUUCAGCAGAUUGUAGUUAUUGGGCAGGAUCAACGUCGUCUUGGAGCUAUAAUUGUUCCAAACAAGGAUGAGAUUUUAGCUACCGGAAAGAUGUCAAUAAUAGGUGCAGAUACCUCUGAACUUAGCAAAGAAAAUAUGACUGCUCUAUUACUUGAAGAGCUAAGGAAAUGGACUUCUCAAUGCUCAUUUCAUAUUGGUCCAAUCCUUGUCAUUGAUGAACCUUUUACAAUUGAUAAUGGUUUAGUGACUCCGACUAUGAAAAUUCGGAGGGACAAAGUUGUUGCUCGAUACAAAUUGCAAAUAGAGAAUCUAUACAAAUGAUUCCCUUGUUAGAAGCCAUCUUUGAUGUGGUUGUACGCAGGAAAAUUACAACGAUUCGUUGAAAGCUUGCCUUUCAUCUGAAAUUAUGAACAUGUUAUGUAUCCGUGUACAUAAUAAUUAUCUGGAGCUCCUAAACAUGGGUCCCUUCCAAGAUGGAAAAGCUUGUGAGUGGGAAAAAAAACACUAAUCUUGACCUUCAGCUAAUAUCGAAGGAUUUAUUUUCAAGGCAUUUUGGCUACAAGUCAUGCGAAGGGCUGUUGUAUAUAAAUUUGUGAUCGAGAGAUCAAGCUGAUUUU